rnacentral:rRNA from 1 species
GAUGAACGCUAGCGAUAGGCCUAACACAUGCAAGUCGAGGGGCAGCCUAGAGUAGCAAUACUUUGAUGGCGACCGGCGCACGGGUGAGUAACACGUAUGCAACCUACCUACAUCAGGGGAAUAACCCGGAGAAAUUCGGACUAAUACCGCAUAAUACAGGGAUGCCGCAUGGCAAUAUUUGUUAAAGAUUUAUCGGAAGUAGAUGGGCAUGCGUUCCAUUAGCCAGUUGGUGAGGUAACGGCUCACCAAGGCAACCAUGGAGAGGGGAACUGAGAGGUUUGUCCCCCACACUGGAACUGAGACACGGACCAGACUCCUACGGGAGGCAGCAGUGAGGAAUAUUGGUCAAUGGACGAGAGUCUGAACCAGCCAAAUCGCGUGAAGGAAGACUGCCCUACGGGUUGUAAACUUCUUUUGUACAGGAAUAAAAGACAUUACGUGUAAUGUAUUGCAUGUACUGUACGAAUAAGCAUCGGCUAACUCCGUGCCAGCCGCCGCGGUAA